AACGAACGCUGGCGGCAUGCCUAACACAUGCAAGUCGAACGAGACCUUCGGGUCUAGUGGCGCACGGGUGCGUAACGCGUGGGAACCUGCCCUUAGGUUCGGAAUAACUCCCCGAAAGGGGUGCUAAUACCGGAUAAUGCCUUCGGACCAAAGAUUUAUCGCCUUUGGAUGGGCCCGCGUUGGAUUAGCUAGUUGGUAGGGUAAAAGCCUACCAAGGCGACGAUCCAUAGCUGGUCUGAGAGGAUGAUCAGCCACACUGGGACUGAGACACGGCCCAGACUCCUACGGGAGGCAGCAGUGGGGAAUAUUGGACAGUGGGCGAAAGCCUGAUCAAGCAAUGCCGCGUGAGUGAUGAAGGCCUUAGGGUUGUAAAGCUCUUUUACCCGGGAUGAUAAUGACAGUACCGGGAGAAUAAGCGCCGGCUAACUCCGUG
rnacentral:rRNA from 1 species